UUACUUUGCUCUAAUAGAAACUUUGGAACUCGCUAAGCUAUGAAAUGGCAGCUCUGCACACUUUGCCAGCAAGAGGCAUUGACCUAUAUUAGACAUAAUAAGUUAGCUUUGCAAGGGCGGUGGGGCUAACUCAGGUGCCAGCAGCCGCGGUCAUACCUGGGCACCUUCAAAGACACACCGGAGGGCUUAUUCGUUUUUUUAGCUUAAACUCGGUGAAAUGUGUUAAGCUUUCCCUCUCUUUACGAAGUUGAGCGCCGAAACUCAAACACUAAACUAGGAUUAGAUACCCCACUAUAGUUGAGCUUUAAUUUUUUACACUCCGUAGCAGUAAGGUUAAUGUUAACUAAAACUUAAAGAGCAUGGCGGCGGCUCAAAAUUUCAGGGGAAUUUGCCCAAUAAUUGAUAAUCCUCAAGAGAUACAACGUGCCCUUACGUUUGUAUACCGCCGUCUGCAGGUGUUAUUUAAAAUAAUACCUUUAACACGAGAAGACAGGCCAUGGCACAGCUUAUGGGCACGUCAGGGUGAGUUACAGUUAAUCUUUUUUUCGGAGCAGCGGUUAAAGACUCUGCAAAAGCAGGACUUGAAAGUAAUUUUUAAAAAAGUAAAACUUGAAUUUUUUUUUGUGCCGUGCACAAAUCGCCCGUCACUCUCGUUGAAAAAGGAGAUAAGUCGUAACACAGUAGGGGUAGCGGAAGCUGCCCCU
rnacentral:rRNA from 1 species